CCUCCUCCACCCCAAAUCUUCCACAGCUUCCUGUAGUUCACAAGACAGCUUGGCACAAAGGGCCAAGUGCAGGAAUCCACAGGUCCUGACUUUUCCACGCUUGCGCUCAGCUCCCACGACCUCCUCCGAGGCCUCUUCUCCUCCACACCUGAAGCAAGCUCCCUUCAUCCUUACAGGCUCGUCUUGCACGCCACCAUCCUCCGCUGACGUGAACUUCUGCCUCUGGAACCGCAUGCUCUUCACACCUGUACAGCUGCUCCUGACCAGCCACUCCCCCCACACCACCAGCACCGCAUUUCUCCAUUUGUAGGCCCUUUGGGGAGACUGCCCUGGGGCCAUGUGCAGGUUUACAGGCUCCACAGUGACAGAGGGUCCUGGGCAUUACAGGCCAUCAAUGAGUCCUCCUUACUGGAACCUCCCCUCAAUUUCAUAAAGGGAUUAUUUGUUAAGAAAGAAUAAACACUGCACAGCAGCACCACGAUCUGCAACAAGCAGAGUCACGCCGACCAGCACCAGCUUCCUCGAGCAAUAGCCAUCCAACACUCCCAGGAAAGGACGACACGACAAAGUGUCGUAGAACUGCAAGAAGACUUGCUCUUCUGCUCCAGUCUGGAGGAGGGCUUCAGAGAAGUGGAACUAAAAGCCAGAACGACGUGUUGGUUGAGGUAUUUACUGGCAAUGACAGAUCACAUGUCAGGUUCCAGUGGGUCAGAACUGAAAUGAUAGCACUACCUCCUUACAGAUUGUCUUUUCCUUGGCAAGUAAAUAGUUCCAUCCAUCUGACAAAUAUUCACUGAGCAGGUAACAUGUCCAAAGCAUUGCAAGAAAGACUGAGGGACUCAAUUUAAUCAGAAGUCUUCAGCUCAAGGGCACCA
rnacentral:lncRNA from 1 species